GACGACUUCACCUUCGCAACUUGGGAAGAAAACCGUCAUCCUUACGCUCAAGCCGUGGACUGCUACAACAACUACUACGGUUCGGCACCGUGUGGUCCUGUGGGAACAUUCACGGUUGACACGCGUGGAACUGGCUUGAUCGUCGACAUAAAUGCCAAAUGGGUAGGGUUCGAUUGGCGGCCUUAUACCAGUGUGACUCGCUCCCAAGAGGGCGCUGUGAUCGAUCUGCUGUGUGGAGGUUGGUGCGGGGGCUGUCGUCCAGCCCAGAGUCUACGUCUGUACUACAACCACAACGACCUGCUCGCUGAAGGAAAGGCUGUACCGACAGAAUUUGGCAAUUACUAAGAGUCAGCCGAUUUGUGGAAACAGGAGGGAUAUCAUGGAUGACAACGUCGUUUUCUCACGCGAUGAAGGGUCAAGAAUCCGAGAGAUAUUCUGCAAAAACAAGAAGAGUUACCGUUCCUUGUCACCC